GAGGCGGCCCGGGUGCCGCUCCCCGCCCGGCCCCUGCCCCGGGCAGCCCGCCAGAUGCUGCUGCUUGCCAUGAUGCUCUGUGUGAUUUGCACCAUUCCCCAAGGACAAAGCAGAGAGAUCCUUGGUUUGGACAGGUCCUGCAGUGCCUCCUCCACCAGCUUUCCUCCACAGAAACCCAGCUGGGCCUUACCCGUGGCAGUUCCUGCAAGUUGACAGGGCCACCAAAGCUCUUAGUAACUGCUGCAAUAUAAAGCAAAUAUUUUUCUAGCUCUUUUAAUCCAUCCACAAGACUGAUCCAGUGCUUAUCUGCCUCAGUCUUAGCAAGGGGGAAAACUAUUAAUUUUUGUCCUGUAGUAAGUGUUGCAUGGGGACAGUGUCCAAGGAAGUCUUGCCAAAUGCCAUUUCCUCUCAUAGUAGCCCUGGGUGUUCAGCUUUUCUGCAUAUUAAAUGUCUGGGGCAGAGUGACCUGGCUUUUGCUUUUUGAAAAAAUAAUGUAGAAAAUACCACCUUCAUUAGUCAUUUUUGCCAUGGAAGUGGCAUUUCCUGGAGCAGCUCCCUGUUAGAUCCUUCCUACAGACUGCAGGGUUGCUGCCUAAGUACGCCUGGCCUGGCUGGAUUCACUCAUAGUUUGUGUUCUCCAUGAACAUACAGUCUCGUUCUAAAAAGCAGCCUUGGAAAUGGAUUCUCUUGGGCUGGUACCCUGAGCAGAGCUGAGGGUCAGCAAGGUACGUGCUUUAAAGUGCCAGUACAUGCAUCUCUGGGAUUUAGGAGGAAACUUGGACCCAGUGAUGUUUGAGGUGCAUAUCUCCUUCAUAAGUCUUCUGCACAUCUCUUUCAAGGAGAAUGUGUUCAUACCCAUUUAUUUCAUGGCUGCUAAGUGCAGAGGUGAUCUACAGGACUUGGGCAGCUCACUGAAUUGGUAUAAAAACUUGGAAGACGUGAAAAUCAGGUGGCCAUGCUUGGCUUUAAAAAGAUUUCACUGACAGAGUCUGAAUGAAACAACUCUCUGGGGUUCAAACCAGCAGGCAUUGUCAGAUACAAGGGAUUAAAAGGCUUCUUAAUGUGGCUUAGUAGUGUACACAAGAUUGGCUUACUUGUAUGAGCUCUUCUUUUGUCACAUUGAUCUUUAUUUUGCAUUGUGCUUAGUACAACAGAAACUGGAGGCUUGAAGUCGUCUUUCCUGAAUCAUCUGACAGGACUUGGCCCUUUUAUUGCUUAGUAAAAUAUUUUUUUGUGAAGGAGGAAUUGAUUUUUGCCAGUGUAGCCACUGUUGAGUAAUAGCUGAAGAAUACCAAGUUGUAAUAAUUUCAUGAGCACUGUAUGUGGCCAGGUCGGUGAGAGGAAAUUACUAUACAGUGGGUUGUACUUCUUUAUAUUACUUUCCUGUAUAGAUGUAUCGAUCUAACCUAAUAGGGAGCUAGCUGAUGAAGGAAUAAAAGGCAAUUCAGUGGUUCCCCUGUGUCAGCUCUAUGUGACUAAACCCAUGAGGUGGUAAUUACAGGAAUGAUAGCUCCAGUUCUGAGGGAUGCAGCUGGUUUGUCAGGCUGCAAACUAAAAAUCAUAGGAGGAUAAAGUUGGCAAGGACUGAUGGAAAAAAUACUUUAACACCGAGGCAGACUUUGUAGAAGAGGCUGGAAGAAGCUGGGCCUUCCUCUCUGCAGCAGUCUAAGUCACAGUGUAAGAAGGAAGGGCAAGUGUGUUGACCAGCUUAUUGUUCUUAAGAUCUAUUUUGUCUUAAAUGUUUUGGUGGUGAGUAAGUAUUUUGUGGUCAGUACUUACAGCCAUUACUUCAUGAGAGACUAAAACCGUGAGGUCUGGAUCUGUCUUGGGUAUGCAGAGGUAGCCAUGGUUGAUGCACUGGGGGUGCAACCUGAGAACUGGUCUGAUUGCAGCCAAAAACACAGAUCUGGAGGAACAGUUAACUGGGCACUUGAGACAGCAAAGUGCAAAGACAGUCACAAGUUUUGUUUCUUCUUUUGUCUAUAAAUAAAUAGCUUUUAGAAUAGUGCGUGGGCUUUCACAUACAGGUUUAAUUAACCUUGGUGUUCUGACAUGAUGGCUUGUGUUUGUUCUUUUUUUGAUAUGGCAUAGUCAAAACCACAGUAUCAAAGGUAAGAACAAAUUUAUUACAUAGACACCAUUAGUGUAAAUACCCCAGUUGUGGGAUACUGGCCAGCUCCUGUUUCUCAGCUGAAAGAUAAUACAGCAAAAGAGGUUUUUCUUUUAUUGUCCUUUUAUUCACCAUUUAUUGCACUGUUUUCACCACUUGCUGUACAUAAUCGAUUGGUUGUCCCCUGCUGUUACCAUGGAUAUUUAAUACAUCGACAUGGAAAGGAGACACAUUUUCAUGAAAGGGAAAAUGCAGCUACAAAACUCUUGCACUGAACGGACAGCUGUGCCAUAUUUUACGUGAACACAGCCAAUAAUGGCUUUUUGUUUCUUGUUCUUGCCUGCCAGCACAGCUACACACACAGAUACCCCUCCUGCACCUCGUGUCCAUUCUCCCUCCCUGGAGCAGGUGAGAAAGGCCAGAGGCAGGUUUGUAGCUCAGUUGCCUUGAAACUCGGAAACACGUAACGAAAGAAUGGCAAAUGCUGUUGGUUAGUGUGGUCCAGCACAAACAGGAAUCCAAGACCCUCCCUUAGACUCUUACGUCUGGGUUUUCUUGAGAUCAAAGGGGAACAUGGUAUUUUGAACAAAAUGUGCAAGGGCCCACCCUUCCUGAAUUGUACUUUUGGUGGUAUGUUCUGUCCUGCAGCUGUAAUGCUCUACAGGAGGGUUUGGGUUUUCCCCCUCCCUGCCCUCUUUUAAUAUGUAUCAUGAGAGAAAUUUAAUGGAUGUUUUCACAGGAGUCUCUGAUCCUACACUGCUCUCAUUGUGCCUGUGUGUUCUGUGAGCAGGGCUGCUGAUCAUUAACAGUUUAAGCCUAGCACCUCUAAUUCAUCAGAAGUUCAUGUAAUGUAUUACUUACAUUAGAUGUAGGUGCCAAAACUGACCUGUAAACCUAAAAUGAAAUUGGGACUACAAAAUUAAUUUCAUUUAGAUUGUGAAAAUUAGACUAUAAAUGGAAUUCCUGUGGGAACUGUGUAAAUCUUCUUUGACAUUGAUUUAAUGUAAUUCUUUUCUUAAUAGGCUAACUUUAAAUUGUGUAACGAGUACAUAGUCUUAACCAGCACAGAUUCGUAGCAAAUCUUGCAGUAAGAUGAGUACUAACAGGAACAUUCUGUGGUGUUUCUGGAUUUAGAGAUCACACUGUAUAGCUUCAAUGCAGAUGACUAGACAGUCAGGCAUCAUACUCCCUCCCCAACUCAGAGCAGAUAGGUAAUGACACAGAGCUGUCAUGUCAUCUCCAUCCCAUCAAUAAAUUUUAAUUUAUAAAAUGCACAUGCACAGGAUAACACAAAUUCAGGGUGAAGAUUUAUGUUCAAAACUGAAGUCGGAAUCUGAGUUUCAAGGUUAGUACCUGAAUCAGAAUUUCAUGUCCAAAUCACAAUAGUUAAUCUCUAAUCUGGGAAAAAUUUGAAUUAAAGACUUAAUUUUUCAAACUGGAUCCAGGAAUUCAAGGUCUGACUAGCUCUGGAAGAGAAAUUUGCAUUCUCUUAAUCGAUGGCAAGUAAGUGUGCUUGUUUUAUGCAUGAAAUUAAAUUGAGGACUGAAAUUAUUCUGAAUCAUUCAAAUAUUCGUGCUCUAGAUGACAUCAUAUUCUGCUUGCCACGCUGCUUUUUUUCUUGGGAUUUAGACAUGUUCUUGUUGUUUUUAAAGAUAACAUGUUCAGGUCUGAUUCUUCAAGUUUUAUUCUGCCUGUGAGUAAAUUCAGAGGGUUGGAUUAACACAGGCACUCUCUGUGCAUGAGAGCUUGGGCAUUAGCUUCUCUCUGCAGGGGAACAUUUAAGGUGCUUGAGAUAAUUUGACCUAUGAAAACAAUAAUUUUGAAUGUUUCACUGCAAAUAACUCCUAAUAUCCUGGCAUUCUGUAAAAUGUGUGACAGUGCUUUUAAACAGGGAAGAAUAUGCUGGAUGCUGGGACAUCUCAAAACUUGCUUGAUUUUUCUGGGUCUCUUACUCAGCAAGUCUCCUGUACUGUUUAAAACAAUAGUGUCCUGGUCCUGCUCUAAGCCAGUAGGUGCAAAAGCAGUUCUAAUGCCUGUCAGGUUGUGUAAGAGUCAGAUCUCAAUCAUUUUUGAUACCCAAAAUUACCACUGCAAGGCUGCCUUGCACAACACUUAAUUCAUCUGGGCCUCUAUUAAACAUCCUUUUGUGUCAGUAGAGUUCUUGAAAUGAAUUGAUUCUUCCAGACUCAGUGAGUGCUGAGAGCAGGUAGCCUUUGCAUAUUCAUUCCCCCUUCUGCACGCUUAGGGCUGAUCUUCUGUCUUAAUUUCCUUCCAAGAAGUCAGGCACUGCCUUAAUGAAGUCAAGUUCUUUGUUCUUUCUAAGGUUUCAUUCCAAGAAAUGUCAAAGAACAAGAUUUAAGACUCUACUGUACUGUAUUUGCAAAGAAAAGUAAAAUGUGACAAAUAGGUAGAAAAUUGCAUACAGAACUCCACCACCAGCAAAGACUUGAGAGAGCUUUUGGCAGUUAAAAAUUCACAUUCUUCUCCCAACUCAUAAGAAAGAUGAAAGACUGGUAUGGGAAAUGCAUUUUGCACAAAUAUAGCUCCAAAAAUGGAAAAAAAAAAAAAAGAAUCUCAAAGUUCAUUUACAGAAAUUCAGAACAUCCUGAAUCCUCUCAUAUUACAGCUUGACCCAGCCCUACUCAAUAGUGAAAACAGUUUACAAGGGAAGGUAGUUUUGGCUUUCUGAAAAGGUAUAACUUUAUAAUUAAAGGUACUACUAAUAAAACUGGAGUGUUGCAGAAGCAAAAAUGACAGUCACAGCUUUGACCUUCCCUGGCAUGACUAGAUGGGACUUUUAGCUACAAGGUAAAACAUUUAACACCUUACUCUUGCAAUCUACAAUGAAAGUAGCCAUCUAUUAUCAGAUACAAUCUGUACUGCAGUCGUAAUAGUGUUAGCUGCUACGACUAUAGAAACGAUGGAGAAAUGUGACAACGCUUAAGCUAUAAAAAGCAUAUUGGCAUGAUUCAAUAGAUGCUCUGAUCACAACACAAUGUGCUCCAAUAAAAAGAAAAUGCAAUUUAAUGUGCCCCUGUCAGUGGUAUGUGCUGCCUUGUGUUUGUUUCUUGCAUGGGAAAGAGGAACAGCAGAGAACAGGGGCUGAACAGGUGUUUGUCCUACAGCUGACCCCGCAAGCAGCAGACUUGAACAAGUCUUCCCAGACACAGAAUUUUGCCUGAACAGAGGUUGUUGCAAAGUCAGACCCAAGCAUGAAAACUACCUCCUUUUCAAAUUAAAGCUUUAAUUGGCACGACAAAGAAAUGUAUAGUGGUGUUUGGUGCAGUGCUGGGUAUACUGAACAACUUGUUCACCUACCAAAGGGUUACUUUUGAGAUCUGUAUCUGAACAUAGUAUCAGAUAUUAAAGAAAGUAAGUUGACUUGUUCUAGCAAUUAAAAACAGAACUGAAGAAAAUAUUUCUUAGUGGAAAUUCAGUGAAAAUAUUUUAUGCUGCAAGUCCAGCAUUCCAAGAUAGAAUCUUUAUUUUUUUUUCCAGUGAAUGUAUGCACAAUCCAGUACUAACAAAAGUUAGCAGAAACAUAUUUUAGUAAAACCUCAUUAAUCAUGGCAAUCUGAUAUAGUAUACCUGAUAUUCAUUAUAUUUAAUGAGAAAUCACCAAGCAAAUGUGCUCAUUAGUGACUCUGGUAUUGGACAGCUCUGUGAGAGGUACUUGUCUAAACCCUGUGUACAUUUAACAAGCUCCACGAAUAGCUCUGGGCUGCUUCCUGUUCCUCAGGCACUGGGAGCGUGUCUGAAAUGUUAUAAAACGCAUGGAGGCUGGUUGUUUAUGGGGGUGCUGAAAUCUUGGAUCCCACAUCCUCCUCUGCUGUUUCUCACGGUAUGUGUGCUUGGCAAGCUGCUGCUUCAUGUGCCGUGUCUCCCUGGUGUUCACCAGCUACGUGGCCCUGCAGUGUCUGAUCACUUCAAGAGUUCGUCCAGGCUUUGGAGAGCCUCCCCAAACCCAUGCCCCUGCCUCAUGUCUACUUUUGUUUUGUAUUUGCACACCUUGCCCAUAAAGGCAGUGGGCUCCCGGUUCAUUGCAGAGUCAGAACUGGACCAGCUGGGGUUGGAACUAAAUGGUCUUUAAAGUCCCCUGCAACCCAAACCGUUCUAUGAUUACAGGAUUCUGUGAUACAGUGACAGAAUUGGAGUUGGAGAAUUCUCUCAACAGCAUUAGUUCCUCUGCUCUGAACCUGGUCUUCCUUUCAAUGCUGGAAUGAAAAAGCAGCCUGUUCAGUACUCAGCCUGACUGCAGUUAAUAUCUACCAGCAGCAGUAACAGUGAUGCUUCCUUGAAUUCCCAAGUUUAAACUUAUUGGAAUCCAAGGUGAAAGGUAGAAGGGAAGAUUGUGCUAUUUGUAAUUAAAACACUACCAUGAGGAAAAAAUGAAGACUGAAGUGAGAUAAGGCUGUGCAGACAUCCAUGCAUGUACUUUGGUUUAGAUAAUGGAAAAACAGCCUGUACAAAUAAAAACCCAUCUCUUUCGUGUUUUU